GGGGUAAUAGGGUGUUUAACAAGGCACACUACUUAUUAUUAAAGCAAAACAGAACAAAAUGCACUCUCUAGAUUCCUCUCCCGGGUUUCUGAUGUUUGGUCUGCAAAAACCACGCCAAGAUUCACUUUUAAGAAAACCUUGGGGGGAGGGUGGGUGGGGCCUAGAAACCGCUCUCUGCUGGGCUCGAAUCCAGUGCUCUCAACCUUACUUUCCCCUUCUCUUCGGCCACUGCCCCUAGCCCAGAGCUGGCCAGAGUAGCUCUUCCGGAGAAGGACCGAAGGGCCGGGAAAAGGGAAGAAUCUCCAUCUCCGUUGCUUCUGCAGAGCAAAGGGUGCUUGGCUCCUGCAGACUCCCUCCCAUUCUCUACCGGCACCGACCUCAACGACGACACGACCUGGAUGAAUGGAGUAUCCGGAGAAGGUUUUUGAAGACGUUUAGGAGGAAGGGUGAGUUUUCUGUUGAGAAACUCAAUCUGCCAUACAGUAGCGGGCCCCAUCUGGGAUCUGUCACUGCUGACAGCACCACAGGGCACAGCCGUGAUCUUCUGCACAGCCUGCACUCCUCGAAAUACCCUCCUUAAUCAAAGGAUGUCUGCGCGCCGGCGCUCAGCUGACCGCGCCAAAGCAGAGAGGCCUAAGAGUUCCACCCCUCCCGCCCCCUCCCCAGGCUCACA
rnacentral:lncRNA from 1 species